rnacentral:rRNA from 1 species
CGAAAGAUUGAUCCAGUUACUUAUUAGAAUGAUUGAUUAACAAUAAAGUUCAUAAAUAAUUAAAAUAAUGAUAUUAAUUACUAGUCCUAACCAAAAUUUGUGCCAGCAGUUGCGGUAAAACAAUGAGGGCUAGCGUUAAUCAUAAUGGCUUAAAGAGUUCGUAGAAUUAGAGUUAAUUAAUAUUAAUUAAAGAAUUAUAAUAGUAAAGAUGAAAUAAUAAUGAUAAUUAUAAGACUGGUAUAUGUGAAAAUAUUAAUUAAUAAUUAACUGACAUUGAGGAACGAAGGCUAGAGUAGCAAUACGGAUUCGAUACCCGAGUAGUUCUAGCAGUAAACUAUGAACACAAAUGAAAAUGUAAGUGUUCCGCCUGAAGAGUACGUUCGCAAGAAUGAAAUUCAAGACAAUAGACGGUUACAGACUUAAGCAGUGGAGCAU